CUCUCUCCCUCCCUCCCUCUAUCUAUCUUUUUAUCACCGCGUCUGCCUGCGUGUGUAUGUGUGUGUGUGUAUAUAUGAGGCGUCACUCUGGGAGACGCCUUUGCGUGUCCUUGGACGAAUAUUCCUCUACGAGUCCUUCGAGUCGGCAAAGACAGAUCCUCGUCGAGUGGACGCGAAACGAAGAGAAGAAUAGGAGAAGAAAGGGGUGAAGGAAUAAAAAGCCAGCCCAUUCAAAAUUUCUCCAGGGCAGAGAUUUCCUUCGGGGCCAGCGAGGACGUUUUACCUCGCGAAGACCAGCAGAUUGGAUGAUGUGGGCGCUUCUCAUUUUGGCUGGAUUUCUGAGCGGUUGGUGGGGCGCACUAGCAUUGGCCACGACGGCACCCACAGCCACCACUGCUGUUGUUGCUGUUCCAACUCCUGCUCCUGCGUCCUCCGCAAGCGUCGCGACGUUCAAAGCCAUCUUCGGCACGAUGGGCAUCUCAAGAGGAUCCCAGACGAAGACGCCUCAGGAGGAUGGGGCCAUGUCGAACCGCUUGGCCAAUGCCCUUAUCCCCGUGGGCCUGACGCUCGGCAGGGGAAGUUCCUGGUCGCGGCACCCGACCCGGUCACGCAUCCUUUCUCUUCUGGGGAAUCUUGAGCCUUACGCGUAUCACCGGCCUAUCGAGGCAAUCGAGGCAAUCGAGACAAUCGAGACAAUGUGGACCUCCCUCCCUCGGGAGAGCUCCCUCGCGGUCCUCCCGGAAAAACGCGAGCAACCGGACGUUCGUGGGCCUGAGGCAAGGCAUCAUCGCCGCCCCCCCAAACCCAUCAGCGCCGACGACUUUCACAGUUAUCAGCCAACGCCAACAAAUUCAGGAUUCGCUACGUACCGUCGGAGCUUCGCAUCGCAAUUUCAAGAGCAUGCAGGCAUUUCUCCAAUGACGCAUACGAUGCCAAAUUCUCCGGCAACUUCGAAGUACAGUAGUGUCUUGGAGUCGUGGUUCACGAGGAACCAGCGACCACAGGACAGAUUGAGUCGAAUGCUCCAGACGGAAUCGUCAAUCGAGCGGCCGAGGAUGAUGAGAUCGGUAAGCCAGAGACAGAGACCGAGGCAGAGGCAAAGACAGAGGCAGCAGCAGCACCAUCAUCACCAACAGCCACAACCACAAGCACAGCAGCAGCAGCAGCAGCAGCAGCAAUCGAAUCGAGGGAAGAAUCGCACGAGGGCCGAGUCGGCUUCGAGGAAGGGACCACAAUGUCGUAACAAACCAUGUCGCAGACAGAACUGGUGUCCUGACGUGGACGUGGGUAACAGAGCCUUUCUCGCACCGACUGUUUUCGAGGGCAAGGUCAGAAGCAUGUCCUCCGCGAGGAAACCAGACUUGAACUAUUCAGUGACCUUCGAGGUGAAGCAGGUGUACAAGAGUCAGUCGGGGUUUCAACCCCUGCAGAAGAACGACAACGUGAGGCUGCACUUUCGCAACAAAACGCCGGGCAAGUCGACAUUGUGCAGCCCCGAGGUAGUUCAUAGCAAUCAGAGUGGGAUGGUGAGGGCCAAUAUUGAAAAGGGUAAAGUGUACCUAGUGUUUGUGAACCGUGUGGGACCUAGAAACUUUACCAUUCUCGGCGAACCAGUAAGUCGCAGUAAAAAGAACGAGCAAGCGGUUCAGGCAGUUGUUCGACCAGACUAUGUGGAGGAAGUUACGUUAUCUAAUCUUAACGACUCGAAUGUGAAAAUAACAGACACAGUAAGACUAGUGUGCAGGACGAGUGGAUCGCCACCCCCGAGGGUCCACUGGCUCAAGGACGGCCUGCCCCUGCAUCCCCGAAGAGGUCUCAGGAUUCAACACAAACGCCGCAGGUCGAAAGUGGUGAUAAAAUCAGCGAGGUUGGACGACAGCGGCAGAUACGAGUGCGUGGCUGAAAGCACCUCGGGACAUCGAGCCUCCCUUGCGGCCGAACUUCGGGUCCUUUAUGAUACCAGCAGAUCUCCAGAAACCACAACGGCGGCAUGGCCGAGGCAGGAGCAGCCCUGUCCGAUAGCCGGUGACUUCUGCAUGAACGGUGGUACCUGCCUAUUUUUCGAGACGGUCGGUGAACCAGCUUGUAGAUGCGCCGAGGGCUACACGGGUCAGCGCUGCGAAAGAAAGGAUGUCAUCAGCAACGGAAAUAUGGAUAAAUUCUCCUCGUUCGCCGAGGACGUGACGCUCGCCCGAUUCUAGCGCAUCUAGCGGCACUGUCAAGCUUGCACAUCGGGACAUUCAUCGUGUUUUGUCUUAUUGUAGCCUUAUCCUCGUUCGGCCCGUUCCUCCUGUUCGGUACAUGUCCCUCACUCUCUAACAAUGGGAUUGACUUUUCAUCUCUUCACUAUCAUCAUCCUCCUGACCCUCUCGUUCUCCCUUUUUACUGUCAUACCGUUUAUAAUUUUUCCGCAGUUUCCUUCGUGCUGGAAUGACACAGAGAAAGAGAAAGAACAAGAGUUUCCAGUACCUUGGUACGUCCCAGCCUCCUCUUUGCACCUUUACUUUUUUUUUUUUUCACAUCAUAGAGUCUACUUUCCACUUCACGUUUUCCAAAUUCGCCGUUUUCAUUCAACUUGAUGAGAGGUGUCGGUGCUAUUGCUGCUUUGACGAGGAUGUUGCAGUCCACAAGGGCGAAUUUCAUCAGCCGACGCGACAGCCGUCACAAGCAGUAAGAAGCUCAAGCAUUCUCCAGCAAUUUAUAUUAAGUGUGAGCGUCGAUCCAUCGAAGAAGCAUCGUGCCUUUCGGAAUCCUAAUGCGAAUGCAUUGGUUCGCUUCCUCGUCAUCGUCAUCGUCAUCGUCAUCGUCCUCAUCCUCGUCCUCAUCCUUGUCCCCUCGCGACGCACUUCACUGUGACUCUUUCCGUAAAACGGGGCCAGAGACGUAAGAGAGCCACUGGACAAUGGGUGCUUCCUCCAAGAAGCGCGGUGAGCAGCGCUGUACUUUGCAUGUCCUCAGCUUAGUAUCCUUUUCCUUAUUCCUUAGAGCGAGCGCGUCCGCUCUCGGAACGCAGGAACGUAGGGAGCACUUGCGAGAGGACGAGAAAGAGGAAAAGGAAGACGCAAGAGAAGUGAGGAAAAUCGAAGCAGUGACUGGUUGCGACUGAACCGCGAGGCCGGAAGAGAAGCUCUGCCCAUUGAGGAGGAUAUACUCUGUUAUAAGUAGUUUAUCUCGGUGAGCGAGAGAAGAGAGUGUGACUGCAGGAAAAAGGAAUGCUUUCGAGUUCUAUGCCAAAGAGUACGAGAGAUGUCCGUGCAAGCUUACUAGUGCCGCCAUACUUGCGUUCAUUAUGUUACGUUGAACGGAUCGUACUACCAAUACUUAUCGAUCCAUCCGACGAAAUAUUCGAUACACAAAAGUUCACUUACGAUUAGCUCAAUUAGGGCUCGUUUAAGCUGCUUCUUCUCCUACUGUGAGAGAAGGGACGACGAGCCUUCUUACAUGUGUACUUAGAAUAUUUAGGGAAUAACGAAUGUCCGGAAAAAGAAUGACUCUUCGAGGACGACUUUUUAGUUAUAAUUGAGGAUCUUGUGGAGCGAGGUUCCCGACAUCUUAUUAGACCUGUACGAAAUAUGCUGACGAGUUUUAGCCGCAGACGGAACAUGAAAACUGACUAAUACUCUACUACAAAUCAAUCUGAAAUAAUCGUUUUCUUCAGGAAUGACAAGGUUAUUUCGAUUUUGUAUUAUUUUCAUAAGAAAUUGCUAGCUGACACGGCUCAACACCAUUCGCGUAUUCGCAUAUACGAGCGCAGAACGUUGACUGUGCUAACGCCAAACAUUCUCCACGCUCCAGAAUAGCCUUAAGUAAAAUGUGUAUGAAGACAGUAGCCGACUGGGCAUUUAGUUCUAUAAGCAUUACGCACCGCGAGAUAAUGUCGCAGCGAUUGCGUGUGCAAAUGAGUCAAACUCAAAAUCACUCGGUCGAUGAAACAAGAAACACAGAAGAGAAAACGCUUAUUCCUUUUCUCCUCUGAUUUUUCAAUGAAAAGAUCGAACGACACGCAACGUCCAAUUAAAUUUUAAGCACGCUAUGUACAAUAUUGUAUAUUAUUUAAUAUUAUUUAUUUGAUGAUGUUUUUACUAGAAACGCGUUUGUACUGUAUCCAAUCUUAAGAAUAAGGUAAUAUAAAGUGAGGCGUCGCAGGUGCUUUAUAAUUGUCUAAGGAGAAACCAGUCGCGAGAUCACAGAAAAUGGAUCCUGAUGUGCACCAGUAUCGAAUGGUCUUCCCUUAUGCAGUAAUCAACUAAUCUGAAUCCGAAUAUAGCUCCACGUUGAAAUAUCCGAUAAAAAGAGGAAAAAUUACAGAACCAAAAACCACAUAGUAUCCUAUAAACUGUAUGCACUUCUCUUUCUACGCUGUUUUUGGUUUCAAAUUUAUAUGUACAUCUCUCUCUUUUUAUUCAAUAUUUCGAAGAGAGCUAACUUUCCAGUGCUUCGCAAUCGAUAGAAGAAGAUCCGACAGUUAGGACCUUUGCAAGUAACUUCUCUCUUAGAGACUAGCCAUGACAUAAUGUAGCUGCGAAGGAAGACGUUGCUGUCCGUUCCAUUCGGUUCUACUGUGGUAGCCAGAAAGUGCACUAUUAAUAGAGAUUAAGAAUUAUUCUAGAAGCACAAAGUAUUAACAAUAUAAUGCAACUAUUGUAAAAGGGCAUGAUGAUUGUAAAGACAUAAAGGUAAUAGUCCAGAA